rnacentral:rRNA from 1 species
GACGAACGCUGGCGGCGUGCUUAACACGUGCAAGUCGAACGGAAAGGCCCUGCUUGCAGGGUGCUCGAGUGGCGAACGGGUGAGUAACACGUGGGUGAUCUGCCCCUUACUUUGGGAUAAGCCUGGGAAACUGGGUCUAAUACUGGAUAGGACCAUGCUGUAGGUGGUGUGGUGGAAAGAUUAGUUUCGGUAAGGGAUGAGCUCGCGGCCUAUCAGCUUGUUGGUGGGGUAAUGGCCUACCAAGGCGUCGACGGGUAGCCGGCCUGAGAGGGUGGACGGCCACAUUGGGACUGAGGUACGGCCCAGACUCCUACGGGAGGCAGCAGUGGGGCAGAUGGCACAAUGGGAGCAAGCCUGAUGCAGCGACGCCGCGUGGGGGAUGACGGCCUUCGGGUUGUAAGCUCCUUUCGGCCAUGACGAAGCCCUUGUGGUGACGGUAGUGGUAGAAGAAGCACCGGCUAACUACGUG